AUUUCGGGAGAGAGGAUAUAAAGAACAAUGGAUCAGAAGAGCCUAUCUAAGAGCUAAGCACGCGAAAAGGGAAGAUCUUAUGCAGCCCAGGACGAGAAAAUCCAUCACUGAUAAUCAGGAUCCGGGAGCACAUCCUUGGGAUCAUGGCCGCAAAGGAUGAAAUAGACCCACAUAAACUCACCACCAUUCCACGUCAUUUCAAGCAAUUUCACGCAUGUGACCCAAGUGGACUUAUGGUCAUGAUGAUGUACUCGUCCUUCUAGUCAUAUACCCACAGGCCGAUACCACCAAGCACUAAUUUUUGUAUACUCACCUUUGCUUAGUUUUUAGC